rnacentral:rRNA from 1 species
UACAGAGGUGGCAAGCGUUGUUCGGAAUUACUGGGCGUAAAGGGCGCGUAGGCGGUUCGUUAAGUCCUGUGUGAAAUCCCCCGGCUCAACUGGGGAACUGCACAGGAAACUAGCGGGCUUGAGUUCGGGAGAGGGAAGCGGAAUUCCGGGUGUAGCGGUGAAAUGCGUAGAUAUCCGGAGGAACACCGGUGGCGAAGGCGGCUCCUGGACCGACACUGACGCUGAGGCGCGAAAGCUAGGGGAGCAAACAGG